ensembl:lncRNA
AUGUGUUUAUUAUGUAAUCAUGCGGCAAAGGGAGGGUUUGAAAAUUCAGCUAUAGGAACAUGGUCAAAAGGAGUAAGCCUUUUAAUCUGCUCUUCUUUAUUUUUAUUACGUUUAUUUAACGAAAAAGAAAUUAACAUAUUUCAACAAGAACAUACAAAUAAUGAGUAUUCAAUGAUUUAUUUUUUAAGUUUGUAUAAUUUAAUAGGUGCAUCAUUACUUUUAGUAUUUUCUUUAAUAGGACAUUUUUUUUAUAAACCUUUGUUAAAACCAAUAUAUUUAAGUUCUUUUAUAGUUUCUUUAUUUUUAAUUUCUACUGGUGUUUAUACAACAUGUACUAGCAAAAAUAUAUCUUUAAAAAUAAUUGGUAUAAUGGAUGCUUUAAAGUUACACCCAGAAUAUAUGCUUUUGAAAAAAAUACAUUAUCAUAAAAAUGAUACUAAUAUUAAGGAGUUACGUAAAAAAAUAUUAGAAGGAAAUGUAUCUCAGGAUGAUAAAGCUAAAAAUAAGAAUACCAGUGUUGUCACAAAAUUUGAUGCGACUGAACUUUUAAAAACUAUUGAAGAUAAAAAUAAAUUCCUUGAAACACAAAAAAAAGCGUUAUAUGAAAAUUUAUCUACUGAAGAAUUAAAAAAAAUAUUUGCAUCUAUUGAGACUAAAUCUAGUAAUUUUGAAAGUGCUGUGAUACAAGAACCUUUAAUUGUUGCACUUGAUAAAAUGAAAAAUGUUAUAUAUAAUAUUGAUGUAUAUAAUAAGUUUUACAAGUUUUUAGAAAAUAAUGCUGCUUAUAUAACCAACUCUGAAAGAAUAAAAUCAUUUGCGGAAAGUUUUGUAACUAGUUAUAAAUCUUAUCGGAGAUCUUUUUUUGAUAUGUCAAAUUAUGAGUUAGUAAAUUAUGGUACUGAUGUUGUGAAAAUAUAUUCAGAUUCAAUAAAAAAAAUAAAACAGACAAAAACGAAAAAUCCAAAUGCUAAACUAUAUGAAUACAUAGAUGAUUUAGAUCGAAGAAAUUUACUUAUUUUAUGUUCAACAUUGAUAUUCAUGUCAUUUAUUUAUAUUCAUAAAGGAGCUUCAUUAACUAAAAAAAGUUCCAUAUCGAUAACAUUAUUAUACAUUCCUACCAUGUCCUAUAUAAUUUGUCUGGGUUGUGUUUUUCUUUGCACUGGGAUAUAUUUUUUUUCUUUUGUUGGAGUAUUAAUGUGUUUUUUUUGUUUUAUGCUAACACUUUUAUUAAUAUUUUCCCAGUGGUUUUGUGAACGUUUAUUCAAGCUUUUCAUGGGUUUUAUAUUUCUCUUUUUCUUUUUUUUUGUUUGUUGAUUGGUUAUAUAUUAGUUGAAAAUUUUAACGAUGGAUUAAAAUUAUACAGUGAGUACCAAAAGCAUGACAAUAAUGAUUUUUAUUGGGUAUUAUUAGAUAAAAAACAUUAUGAAAAAUUUAAAAGAUAUGUAUUAUUUUCAAAUGGCCAACUAUUUUUAAUAUGUAUUGCUUUGUGUGUUUUUAUCACAAUAUACUCUCUUUAUUCCGUAUGUUAUACAUUCCGUUCUAUCUUAUCUCGAAAAAAAGGAAUUAGUUAAGUUAGUUUGAGCACACUCGCUAUACAUACAUUUAUACAUAUAUAUAUAUAUAUAUAUAUAUAUAUAUAUAUAUAUAUACAUACACAUAUAAAUGAUUAUAUAUUAUCAGUACGUGACUACACGUUUGUAUAUACAUGUUGUUUAUUAUAUUUUUAACAUUUUUGUAAUACAUUUAUAAAAAAAAACAAAACUAUUUGACUUGUUUUAUUUUUAAAAGUCAUAGCUGCUUAUAUAUAUAUAUAUAUAUACAUUUUACAUUUACCAUUACUAUUGCUGUUUUUAUUUCUAUGACUAUUACUACUAUUGUGACUAUACUCACCAAUAAUAGUAGUAAUGCUGUUAUUAUUAUAAUUAUUUCAUUUUAUUUAUUUUUUUUUUUUUGUGAUUAAUUAUUUUUUUUUUUUUUUUUGAGAUCUUACAAGCUAAUUAUUAAGCUAUUUUUUUUUUUAAACCUUAAAAAAUAAACCUUUUCUACUAUUCGUUUCA